rnacentral:rRNA from 1 species
GACGAACGCUGGCGGCGUGCUUAACACAUGCAAGUCGAACGGAAAGGCCCCGCUUUUGUGGGGUGCUCGAGUGGCGAACGGGUGAGUAACACGUGAGUAACCUGCCCUUGACUUUGGGAUAACUUCAGGAAACUGGGGCUAAUACCGGAUAGGAGCUCCUGCUGCAUGGUGGGGGUUGGAAAGUUUCGGCGGUUGGGGAUGGACUCGCGGCUUAUCAGCUUGUUGGUGAGGUAGUGGCUUACCAAGGCUUUGACGGGUAGCCGGCCUGAGAGGGUGACCGGCCACAUUGGGACUGAGAUACGGCCCAGACUCCUACGGGAGGCAGCAGUGGGGAAUAUUGCACAAUGGGCGGAAGCCUGAUGCAGCAACGCCGCGUGCGGGAUGACGGCCUUCGGGUUGUAAACCGCUUUCGCCUGUGACGAAGCGUGAGUGACGGUAAUGGGUAAAGAAGCACCGGCUAACUACGUG